GCGCCGGGCCCCUGGAUGAGGAAGGAGGUAAAAUAAGGCCUGCGUGGGCCUCGGUCUCCAGGAAUCCUGAUCUCCUCGUCCCAUGGUGCCAGGAGAAAUGACAAGCUGACCUUCUCGACCAUAGUUCCCAGCCAGCAAGAUGGCCUUGCCAACAAGCUUGCCACCCUGAAUCCAGUACCUAUACCCACAUACUGGAGGAGAGAACAGAAUCCUGCAAGGUUCCUUCUGACCCUCAACAUGGCCACAGAUUUAAAAGGGAAAAUAGUAAACAGAGGCAAAUUGUAAAAGGGAAGUUUCUCCACUUCAGAAGAGACCA